rnacentral:rRNA from 2 species
CUGAACUUAAGCAUAUCAAUAAGCGGAGGAAAACAAACCAACAGGGAUUGCCCCAGUAACGGCGAGUGAAGCGGCAACAGCUCAAAUUUGAAAUCUGGCUUCGGCCCGAGUUGUAAUUUGUAGAGGAAGCUUUUGGUGCGGCACCUACUGAGUCCCCUGGAACGGGGCGCCAUAGAGGGUGAGAGCCCCGUAUAGUAGGAUGCCCAGCCUUUGUAAAGCUCCUUCGACGAGUCGAGUAGUUUGGGAAUGCUGCUCAAAAUGGGAGGUAAAUUUCUUCUAAAGCUAAAUAUUGGCCAGAGACCGAUAGCGCACAAGUAGAGUGAUCGAAAGAUGAAAAGCACUUUGAAAAGAGGGUUAAACAGCACGUGAAAUUGUUGAAAGGGAAGCGCUUGUGACCAGACUUGCGCCGGGCCGAUCAUCCGGUGUUCUCACCGGUGCACUCGGCCCGGCUCAGGCCAGCAUCGGUUCUCGUGGGGGGAUAAAGGCUCAGGGAACGUGGCUCCUCCGGGAGUGUUAUAGCCCUGGGUGCAAUGCCCUCGUGGGGACCGAGGUUCGCGCAUCUGCAAGGAUGCUGGCGUAAUGGUCAUCAGCGACCCGUCUUGAAACACGGACCAAGGAGUCAAGGUUUUGCGCGAGUGUUUGGGUGUUAAACCCGCACGCGUAAUGAAAGUGAACGUAGGUGAGAGCUUCGGCGCAUCAUCGACCGAUCCUGAUGUAUUCGGAUGGAUUUGAGUAGGAGCGUUAAGCCUUGGACCCGAAAGAUGGUGAACUAUGCUUGGAUAGGGUGAAGCCAGAGGAAACUCUGGUGGAGGCUCGCAGCGGUUCUGACGUGCAAAUCGAUCGUCAAAUCUGAGCAUGGGGGCGAAAGACUAAUCGAACCAUCUAGUAGCUGGUUACCGCCGAAGUUUCCCUCAGGAUAGCAGUGUUGUUCUUCAGUUUUAUGAGGUAAAGCGAAUGAUUAGGGACUCGGGGGCGCUUUUUAGCCUUCAUCCAUUCUCAAACUUUAAAUAUGUAAGAAGCCCUUGUUACUUAAUUGAACGUGGGCAUUCGAAUGUACCAACACUAGUGGGCCAUUUUUGGUAAGCAGAACUGGCG